rnacentral:rRNA from 1 species
UACGAGGGGGGCAAGUGUUGUUCGGAAUCACUGGGCGUAAAGGGAGCGUAGGCGGGCUCUUAAGUUGGAUGUUUAAAACCGGGGCCUAACCCCGGCGUGGCAUCCAAAACUGGGAGUCUUGAAUGGAACAGAGGCUAGUGGAAUUGGAGGUGUAGCGGUGGAAUGCGUAGAGAUCUCCAAGAACACCCGUUGCGAAGGCGGCUAGCUGGGUUCACAUUGACGCUGAGGCUCGAAAGCGUGGGGAGCAAACAGG